rnacentral:misc_RNA from 1 species
UUGGUCUCAAUACGGUAUGAGCCUACGCAGUG